UACGAAGGGGGCUAGCGUUGUUCGGAAUUACUGGGCGUAAAGCGCGCGCAGGCGGCUAUCCAAGUCAGUGGUGAAAGCCCGGAGCUCAACUCCGGAACUGCCAUUGAAACUGUUUAGCUUGAGGACGAGAGAGGUGAGUGGAAUUCCCAGUUUAGAGGUGAAUUUCGUAGAUAUUGGGAAGAACACCGGUGGCGAAGGCGUCUCACUGGCUCGUAUCUGACGCUCAGGCGCGAUAGCGUGGGGAUCCAACAGU
rnacentral:rRNA from 1 species